rnacentral:rRNA from 1 species
UACGUAGGGCGCAAGCGUUGUCCGGAAUUAUUGGGCGUAAAGAGCUCGUAGGCGGCUUGUCGCGUCGGGGUGUGAAAGCUCACGGCUUAACCGUGAGUCUGCAUCCGAUACGGGCAGGCUAGAGGCAGGUAGGGGAGAACGGAAUUCCCGGUGUAGCGGUGAAAUGCGCAGAUAUCAGGAGGAACACCGGUGGCGAAGGCGGAUCUC